GGAAGGAGGCGGGAUCUGCUUGCCAGCGGGCGUCUCCGCUUAGCGCUCUCUCCAGAAACCGCUGGGCAGUCUCCUGGGUGAGCGCCAGACGCCUGGGGUCCGUUUGCCGCCUGCUGAGACUAGACAAGGACCCCGGGAGGGCGACGUUGGGGGAGAGGGCUACGGAUGGAGGUCCCGCCGCGCUUGGGCCGGGUCCGGAGCCACCAGGACGCACAGCGGGCACAGAGCUCAACACUUUAUUUGCUCCCUGUCAUUCAAUGCUAAUAAUACCAAUAUUCAGUGAAAAAUACUGGAGCUUAAAGGUCAGAUCACUUGUCCAGAGUCACAGAACAGAAGCCCAAGUAAUCUGGUAUAACAGCCAGGCUUUUUUUCUACUACAACAUUCUUCAUCCUGUAUGACAUUUUGAAAUCUGGAAUUAGAAGAGUGGAGUUCAUGUGUCGCCUGAAAUGAUCCUCAUGCCAUAAAGGUGACUGAAGCUCAAAAAUAAAGGACCUAAGUGGUUUAAAAAAUGUCAUAUGGCAUGUCAGAGCAUCUGUCCUGGUCAGCUGGUAGUGGUUGCCUGGAGGAUUGUGUUGGGAUAGGACUAUGAAGUCCAAUCUGAGUCUCAUGGGAUGAAAGUCAUGUUGUGAUUGAUUGAAGAUGUCUGCUUAGUAUGCUACAAUGGAACCAUACCAAGGGAGUAUUUAAUGUUUGCAAAUUCACAUUUUUGUGCUCUGCUAAGGAACAGAUUGGUGGAUAGGAAGGAUCUGAGAAACAGAAAUCAAGAUUGUGUGAAUGGCAGCUUGGAAAUGAAAAAGAGAACAAAUGAAUGAGCAAUUAAAAUAUUGCAGACUCUUCCGAUUGCCAUUUCAUGCAAUGAAUACAUGCCUCUAAGUGAGUGUGAGAACCUUGAUAGAAUUUCCUGUUCUCUCAGUCAGGAGCAUAUCUCCAUACAGAGUAUGAUUCUAGGCUUUAAAGCUACUUUUCUUUUCUUUCUUUCUUUCUUUUUUUCCAAUGCAACAUGUCCCAGAAGCAAGCUACCUACAUUAGUUUGCAGUGUUCAAUUAGGGUGGGGGAAACACAGUAUGUUUCAAUAGGGGAGGCAAAUUUGGCAAUAUUGAAUGUUUUAAAACAUGUUUAUUAGGUUUUCAUAUGCAGUUUUCCUCAAGGCAAUUUUGACUUGAUGCACUUUCAUCUAUAUUAUGUACUUACAAACCACCCCCUUGAAAGGUGUAUCUCUACGGUACAUCAUAAAUGUGAUAUCCUCUAACAAGCCCAAGGUAACAUCAGGCAUUAAAUACUCAACGUUAACUUUAAUUAGUACCCUCACCUGCAAGAGUGCAAGUGAUUGAAGAUUGCAGCAAAUGCUUAUCCCAUUCCUUUAAGUCCCCAGAAUGACUGUCUAGACCAAUGUCCUUACUCAUUCCUUAUUCUUCUGAGGCUUUGCUAACUGGAGUACAGGAGCAGUCAGCAGGCCCAGAGGUAUGUUUUACCUUUCUGAUAACUUUAUUGGAUGAUCAAACCACUGGUUUACCUUGGCCAUUUGAAUGUCUGUACUAAGUGCUCACUCUGCUAGCCACCCUACAGAAAGAAAGGGAUCAGGCCAAUAGGAGUUCAAACAAUGACCCAUAACUCUAGCAUUAUAAGCUCAGGCCCUAAACUAGGGUCAUUCUCAGUCUAGGUCUAGUUGUCAGCUCAUAACUAUACUAGUCACAACUUAUGCGUUCAUGUGUUAUACCUGCCUGUUUUUGCUUCUAAGGGGAUUUUGUUAUCAAACAAAGAUGGAACAUGGACACAGGCAGAUAAGAAUUCUAAAUAUAAUCCCUUUCUUGCCUUCAGAAAUUUCUGUAAAGCCUUUGAAGAAUGCAAAAGUGGCUUAUUUUGAGUAAAAACUGGAAUAUUAAUCAGGAAUUAGAUACCUGGCUUGUAUUUCAGAUUCUGCCUUGGAUUGCUGGUCAUAUUCAACACCUUCUUUAUCUGCGGCAUAAAGAGACUACUGUGUCUGUCUUUUUUGGCACAAAAGUGAUGAAGAUAAAUGAUAUAUUGUGCUUCAGUAUAAUUCCUUUGUUAAUUAUAAUAUUAUAUAA
rnacentral:lncRNA from 1 species